CGCUUUCCGGCUCGUUUCGUCGCCUCCCGCGUUGCCAUGGCACCGUGCCGUGAGGGUCUGUCAUGGCUCCGGGCCGAGCGACCCGCGGUUCCCGUUCCCGUCCCUGUCGUCUCAGCCCUGCGCUUUCCGCCUCGUCCAGUCAGCGAUCCGCCAGCCCCGCGGCGCUCGGUCGCCAUGGCGUAGCGCCUGGUGUCUCCUCAGGGCGCUGGGCCCGGUCGGCCGCCUCAGCCUCCCCCGCCGGGCCCGGUCGGCCGCCUCAGCCGCUCCGCCGUCAGCCGCCGGCUCCCGCCCUGUCAGCGGCUGACCGCUGCUUCUCUCUCAGUCAAAGUCUGACAAGAACCUGCCUCUCACUUAAAAACUUUUAAUUUUUCUUAGAAGGAGUGUGUUUUAAAUUCCCGAACCCAGCAGCGGAACGGACUGUAACUGAGACAACCCAUCUCUGACUGUGUGUUGACUGUCGAAGGCUUUCCGGCUGAUGUCGGCCGGCAGAAGGGAGCACAGGAGGGCAUCUGGAGUUUGAAUUUCCAGAUUAUAACCGAAUUCUUCCCAGGACCAAUGGCCCACCUGUAACUGCUGGUCCAGACCGAAACCCAAGAGCUGGGCAGGGUGCCCGGGCAGCGGAGCUUUACAGCAGGACCCGACAGAAGGUGGUUUAUCAGAAAGUCUGGAUUGGUGCUGGGCUGCUGUGCAUUUCAGCUGGGUCUGAAUCCACCCCGGGUUACUGAAGAAAAUAGUUAAAAUAUGCAAAGGAGGGUUUUCUCAAAGCUUUUCUGCCUUUUCCAAACACCGUCUGGCCUUAUGGAAGAUACUGUCUCUACCUACAGAGACUUUCUUAAAAAAACACCCAACCUACAAUGAAGAAAAUCCCAAUGUUUCUCUUCAUCACAAGAACAAAACCAGAAGAGCCAAGUGAAAGAGCAGUCACUGCAGAGAACACUGAGCACAAACAUGGUACCUGCUGUCUCUGACAAGGGAUAUAAAGAGCAAAGCUCCUAUUUCGGAUGGAGCGUUGUCUGAACGCUGCAUUUAUCUCAUGGUUUCUCGUGUUGUGCCGUCUGGUGGAUUGCAGUGAACUGGCCUCAUCACAGCACGUGUCAGCACAUCAGGGUACGCCUGGAAUGAUGUUCUCGGUGCGGAGCAGGGGGCUGGAUCCAUUCCUUGGCGCCUGGCUCUACGCUCAAGGACGUCCGAGGUGAAAGGCUUCAUUAUUAUUCUGUCAUUAGCACCGUGAUGCAAUUCCCAGCCCACCGGCAGCUGCCAGAGCGGCGUCACUCCGGGCGCUGCCAGGAAUGGCAAACGCGCGGCGCUGAGGCUGCUCCGCUGCCGGCGGGGCAGGGCUCCUUCCUGCUUCAAAUAUUGAAUUUCUCUGCCAUGUGUUUUCUGGAUCAUUGAAAGAAGGAGCAGAAGGAUGUAAAUACAGGGCGGGGAAUGUGGAAAUAGAUGGUUUGUAACACAUUACAUUGCCCUUUUAUCUCAAAAUUAAAAGCAUUCCCAAA